UGUCCUGGAAGAAAUUAACUUAUUAUCAUCACUAUUAUUUUCAUGUCGAAACGUAGAUGUUUAUUAAAGAUCAUCAGUUUUCACGGGCCAAAGCUGUGCUGAUUACGAUAAAACUAAAUAAAAUGGUUUUGCAGAUGUCUUAAAGUAGAGGAAUGUCGUAGCUCAACAAUAGGGUUGUAUAUUUUUAUAUUCAUUCACUUAGAAAUUUCAUAAUUACGACCUAUUUUGAAUACCAACAGUAAAACGGAACACGACGACAUUGAAAAACAAGGCUAUGGUCGCGUUCAAGAACGUUUGCAAGGCCAUGGCCGUAAAAUGAACAGCCUUGUCGCUGAAAAUGAUUUACAAACUCUUUGGAGGCCACUCAGCGUUACCUUGCGAAUUCAUGUGGCCUUUGAUAACAACAUAAGUAUUUGUUAGAGUACUAAAACGCGCAGUCAUUAUGAGUUUUGUAUUAAUAGAUUUUUACUUUGAGUACGAUAUGAUUGAUUAUUAAUAAACUUAUCUUUCUUUAAAAUGUGUCAUUAAAUUACAAAGAUAUUAUGACAACUAAACGCAAGUUUCAGAGGGGUCAGAUAAAUGAACUAAACUUGUUUGUUAGUUUUUAGGCAACCACUUUUCCAGAGAAUUGCGUAGGUACCUAUUACUGCCACGUUUCAAUUAGGACUAGUAGUUCCUGAGAUUAGCGCGUUCGUGUAAACAAACAAGCAAACUCUUUCGUUUUUAAUAUUAUAAAGAUUAGAGCGAGCUAAGAGAACUGCUUCAAAUAAACAAAAGUAAACAGUGACAAAAUGUUUGGAUUAAAAAAAAAAUACUGACCUAAUGCUUUUUCGUGAUCCACAGUUGUGGCUGAUAGAGUAGGGGUCAUCUUUUUAGGCACCACUAUGAAAUGUACGGGCGCCUGUUUGUUUCUCUGUUCAUCAAAUACUAUGCACUGAAAAAAAAUACAAAGUUGAUUUUAUAAGAGAA